GAUGAACGCUGGCGGUAUGCUUAACACAUGCAAGUCGAACGGACUCUUCGGAGUUAGUGGCGGACGGGUGAGUAACGCGUGAGAAUCUGGCUUUGGGUUCGGGACAACCACUGGAAACGGUGGCUAAUACCGGAUGUGCCGAGAGGUAAAAGAGAAAUUGCCUGAAGAUGAGCUCGCGUCUGAUUAGCUAGUUGGUGAGGUAAAGGCUCACCAAGGCAGCGAUCAGUAGCUGGUCUGAGAGGAUGACCAGCCACACUGGGACUGAGACACGGCCCAGACACCUACGGGAGGCAGCAGUGGGGAAUUUUCCGCAAUGGGCGAAAGCCUGACGGAGCAAUACCGCGUGAGGGAAGAAGGCUCUUGGGUUGUAAACCUCUUUUCUUAGGGAAGAACAAAAUGACGGUACCUAAGGAAUCAGCAUCGGCUAACUCCGUG
rnacentral:rRNA from 1 species